rnacentral:rRNA from 1 species
GUCUUUGACUAUAUCAUCCUUAACAAACUCCAUUUCAUUUGAUCUUGGAAGCUAAGCAGGGUCAGACUUGGCUAGCACUUGGAUGGUAGAAAUGGAACAGAAGGAGGGCAGUAAAAGUAUAAAUGACC